rnacentral:rRNA from 1 species
GUCCACGCCCUAAACGAUGUCGACUAGGUGUUGGGGAAGGAGACUUCCUUAGUACCGCAGCUAACGCGUGAAGUCGACCGCCUGGGGAGUACGGUCGCAAGAUUAAAACUCAAAGGAAUUGACGGGGACCCGCACAAGCGGUGGAUGAUGUGGAUUAAUUCGAUGCAACGCGAAAACCUUACCUACCCUUGACAUGUCAGGAAGUUGGCCGAGAGGUCGAUGUGCCCGAAAGGGAACCUGAACACAGGUGCUGCAUGGCUGUCGU